rnacentral:rRNA from 1 species
GCAACGCCGCGUGAGGGAUGACGGCCUUCGGGUUGUAAACCUCUUUCGGUAGGGACGAAGCGCAAGUGACGGUACCUACUAAAGAAGCACCGGCCAACUACGUGCCAGCAGCCGCGGUAAUACGUAGGGUGCGAGCGUUGUCCGGAAUUAUUGGGCGUAAAGGGCUCGUAGGCGGUUUGUCGCGUCGGGAGUGAAAACCAGGUGCUUAACACCUGGCUUGCUUUCGAUACGGGCAGACUAGAGGUAUUCAGGGGAGAACGGAAUUCCUGGUGUAGCGGUGAAAUGCGCAGAUAUCAGGAGGAACACCGGUGGCGAAGGCGGUUCUCUGGGAAUAUCCUGACGCUGAGGAGCGAAAGUGUGGGGAGCGAACAGGAUUAGAUACCCUGGUAGUCCACACCGUAAACGUUGGGCGCUAGGUGUGGGGUCCAUUCCACGGAUUCCGUGCCGCAGCUAACGCAUUAAGCGCCCCGCCUGGGGAGUACGGCCGCAAGGCUAAAACUCAAAGGAAUUGACGGGGGCCCGCACAAGCGGCGGAGCAUGCGGAUUAAUUCGAUGCAACGCGAAGAACCUUACCUGGGUUUGACAUACACCCUGCCGCUCCAGAGAUGGGGCUUCUUUUGGGG